GUGAAUCAUCGAAUUUUUGAACGCAUAUUGCACUCUCUGGUAUUCCGGAGAGUAUGCCUGUUUGAGGGUCAGUUAAAUAAAAAUCGAGGUUUUUGCUGCCUUUUCGUGGUGAAGCUUCGGAAUUGGGUCGUCUUUACCUAUCGGUUAAAUGACCUAAAAUUUUUGUAUGAUAUCUGAACGUAUUUAAAUUUAUUUGGUACGUUUUGUAAUAUCAAAUGUUAUUUGGUGUUGGUAACCCUAUGAUUUAACUCCA
rnacentral:misc_RNA from 1 species